rnacentral:lncRNA from 1 species
AUGUUCAGAUACCGUUCCUCUCACUGGGUGGGUAUCCCCAGCCUUGUUUCCUGCCCUUCAGAGAGAACUGGUCCCUCAGCAAAAUGAAAGGCCACAGAGUGAAUGAAACCGGGAGAGAAAGCUGAACAGGCAUGGGUAUUCUAUUGCUCGCUGUUGAAGAAAUAUAAUACAUCACCCUGGAUAUAAAGUGAUCACUUCUCAAGCCACUGCUACUGGGACUUCCCUGCCAUGGUGGACUCUAACCUGGAGCCCCAGGCCAAAAAGGACCCUUCUUCCUUUAAGUGGAUUUUAUUGGAGUACUUUGUCACAGCAAAACAAAACAAAACAAAACCAAGACACGUGGUCAGGUAGGUGAAUAAUUAAGACAUGCUGAAAAAGAUUAUUUUCAAGAGUUCAUCUUCUACUCAUAUCUUUUGGGCCAGGCUCUCAGUGGUACCUAUCUUCAAACUUGGCCUUGAAAAGUUCUAUGAGGAGUCUGUGUACUACAGUUUCCAGCUGUUCCGCCAAAGUGACAUGGAGUGGAGAACAGAGAACAGGAUCCCCCUCUAUCCAAGAGCAGCAAUCGAGGACAGAAUUCUGGCUUCUCUGACGUGGGAGUGGGGAAUGACUGCUCAGGCAAGCACCAGGCUUAGCCCUCCACAACUCCCAGGAAUUUUUGUCCCUUUCCCUGGCUUUCCACCAGGAUACAUUCAUGUGCUGCUGUUUUCUGGGUAUCAUCUUUUCCUCCCGAUAUUCAGCUCAAGCAUCCUGUAUCAGAAAGGAUGUCAGUGCCUGGGCUGUUUGCAUUUCUGCUAGAGGAAGGGGAGGGGCAUGGGCAAUGCUCAGGGUAAGAACCAGGGCUGGGACAAAUGUCUGCUUGAACUUGAGAAAAGGAACAGAGAAAGGGCAUUCUUCUAUAAUAUCAACACACUACCAUCAGCAUCCCUGUCUUGAUAAAACUCAAUCUAUCCCCUCAAUGAGAACGUGGACAAUUCAAGAAUAUGCCUCUUAUUUCUUUCUAUCCACAAGUUCUGAAUGGGCAGAAAGCCCAUGGGGGGGGGGAAUCUCUUAAAGUAUAGAUCCUGAAGUAGGUCUGUCAGACUUACCAAAGAAACUACACGAUAUAUAGGUAAGCUUGCAUCUCAGAUAAACAACGAAUAAUUAUUUUCUGCAUAAACAUACCCCACAAAACAUUCUAACAAGAACAACAACAACAACAAACAACAUAUAUUUAUCUGAAAUUCAAAGGUGUCUUGAAUUUCUGUGUAGCAAAUUGGUUUUCUUGUAAACUACAUUUAAAUCCCAGGUCUUCAGAGUU